rnacentral:rRNA from 1 species
UACGUAGGGGGCAAGCGUUGUCCGGAAUUAUUGGGCGUAAAGAGCGCGUAGGCGGUCCGGUAAGUCGGUUGUGAAAGUCGGGGGCUCAACCCUCGGAUGCCGAUCGAUACUGUCGGGCUAGAGUCCGGAAGAGGCGAGUGGAAUUCCUGGUGUAGCGGUGAAAUGCGCGGAUAUCAGGAGGAACACCAAUGGCGAAGGCAGCUCGCUGGGACGGUACUGACGCUGAGGCGCGAAAGCGUGGGGAGCAAACAGG